AGCACUCGCGAAUUGCAAUUAUUUGAAAUUUGAACAAAAAUACAGACCACAGUCGUACAGAGUUCUAAUAGUUCUAUUCUAUUCAUACAUAUUAUUACAUAAUCGCCAUGAAUAAGUGUAUUGUUUUUAGUAAAACAUCUGAAGUAUCGCCUAGCCACACUAUGUUAGUUUUAAUUUAAAAUUGUGUUUUGAAUGAAGGUGUUGUUCAUGCCGCGCUGUUCCGCUGCGGUGGUAGACGACGGUGUUGUCUCCAGAUCCGAACAAUGUCGGCGAGGGUGGAGCGUGACGUUGCUACUUCUUGCCGGUCGUUAACAGACAAAAUAUUGCACAAAUGCUCGAGAUGUGCAUGACGGCCAGAAUAUUGUAUAUCUCCAACGAUGAGGUUGAAGAAAAUUAACAGACAAAUAAAGGAUUUGGAGACGUUAUAGUUGAUAAAUUAAAUUUACCCAGAAAAUCCCUUAGAAACUUAAUACUAUCUAAUUCACAUACACUUAUGUAAGUAUAUCACUCAAAUAUACCUAACCUAACCUAACCUAACCAGGAACUAAAAAGUCGAUGAAGACAUAGAAUAUUGAAGCGAAUUAUGAAGCUUAAAGGCGAUACAAUUUUGCUGAGCAAGAAUCUAAUUUCUAUGACACAGAGGGCCUCAACAUAUUUAAAUUGCACGACUAGUAAAUCGCAUAAGAGAAAAUUAUAUUUCUCCAACGAUGAGUUUGAAGAAAAUGAACAGACAAAUAAAGGAUUUGGAGACGUUACAGUUGAUUAAUUUAAUUCACCCAGAAAAUACUUAAAAACUUAAUAAUGCCUAAUUCACAUACACUUAUUUCAUUCAGUGGAUUAUACUUAUAUUUUCAAAACUGAAAUAUACAAUGUACCACUUACAAGCAACUAGGAAGUCGAUCAAAUAUCCUGACAAUUUUUCAGACGUUGACUUUUAUGAAGAUAAUUCUGCCAACUUAGAUGAAGCCAUACAAUAUUGGAGCGAAUUAUGAAACUUAAGGGUAAGAAUAUUGUUAAUAGGUUUUUAUUUUAAAGCUAUUUUACCGUGCUUUUAACUCUUAU